rnacentral:piRNA from 1 species
UCCCACAUCUGCCCUCACAGCCCUC